UGUUUACAUGGCGAAUUGUAGUCUAUUGAGGCUGUUGUCAGCAUAGCGAUCUGGGACAAGUCCCUUGGAAAAGGGCAGCAUGGAGGGUGAUACUCCCGUCUCUGCUCAGAUUGUCUGUGUGUACGAUACGCUUUCUUUGAGUCGAGUUGUUUGGGAAUACAGCUCAAAGUAGGUGGUAAAUUCCAUCUAAAGCUAAAUAUUGGUGCGAGACCGAUAGCGAACAAGUACCGUGAGGGAAAGAUGAAAAGAACUUUGAAAAGAGAGUUAAAGAGUACCUGAAACUGUUGAAAGGGAACCGUAUCGUUUCCAGUGUUGUAUCCUGUGCAUAUUUCAUUAGCGGAGUAAUUUGCUGGUGCCCUGUGCAUGGGUGUGACGUCAGAGUCAGUUUGUAUGCUGCGGGAGAUGGUCAGUAAGGAGGUGCGUCACUUCGGUGAAAGUUAUAUCUUGCUGUCUAGUAGCCGUGGUUGAGACUGAGGUGCCUACAACAUGCCUUGGGGUUCAGUGUUGUCUCGUUUUGGUGACUGCUUGGAUAGCUUGCUAUGUCUGCGGUUGAUCAGGGCGAUUGAUGAUGUUGAUAACCUCUGCUGUUCGGGACUCUGGCGAAAUGGAGCGAUACGACCCGUCUUGAAACACGGACCAAGGAGUCUAACAUGUGUGCAAGUAUUAGGGCGUGGAAACCCAAAUGCGUAAUGAAAGUAAAUGCUACUUAUGUAGCUGUGGUAGGAAAGGGCUGUAAUGGUCCUGGCACUAUCGACCGAUCAUGAGCCUACGGGCAAAAGAUUUGAGUAUGAGCAUAUAUGUUGGUACCCGAAAGAUGGUGAACUAUGCCUGAAUAGGGUGAAGCCAGGSKAMWCUCUGGUGGAAGCUCGUAGCGAUUCUGACGUGCAAAUCGAUCGUCAAAUUUGGGUAUAGGGGCGAAAGACUAAUCGAACCAUCUAGUAGCUGGUUCCCUCCGAAAUUUCCCUCAGGAUAGCAGCAACUCUUUCGAUAGUUUUAUGAGGUAAAGCGAAUGAUUAGAGGCCUCGGGGAAGUAACUUCCUCGA
rnacentral:rRNA from 1 species